rnacentral:rRNA from 1 species
UACGUAGGGUGCAAGCGUUGUCCGGAAUCAUUGGGCGUAAAGAGCGCGUAGGCGGCCCUGUAAGUCCGCUGUGAAAGUCAAGGGCUCAACCCUUGAAUGCCGGUGGAUACUGCAGGGCUAGAGUCCGGAAGAGGCGAGUGGAAUUCCUGGUGUAGCGGUGAAAUGCGCAGAUAUCAGGAGGAACACCGAUGGCGAAGGCAGCUCGCUGGGACGGUACUGACGCUGAGGCGCGAAAGCGUGGGGAGCGAACAGG